rnacentral:rRNA from 1 species
UACGGGGGAGCAAGCGUUGUUCGGAUUUACUGGGCGUAAAGGGCGCGUAGGCGGUCGUGACAAGUCACUUGUGAAAUCUCCGGGCUUAACUCGGAACGGUCAAGUGAUACUGUCGGACUAGAGUACAGAAGGGCAACUGGAAUUCUCGGUGUAGCGGUGAAAUGCGUAGAUAUCGAGAGGAACACCUGCGGCGAAGGCGGGUUGCUGGGCUGAUA